AUACUAUCAAACUAAAAUCGCUACACUAUGACGUCCAUAAUAAUAUAGCUACAUCAAAACUUUAAUCAAUACAAUAAUCAAUAGUACAGGUACAUAUUUAAAGUAAUGCGAACAAACUAGCAAAAACUUUAUAUUCAUCAAUAUGUGGUCAUACUAUAUGGUAUACAGACAUUGCUAUCGAUCCUCCACAUUUUUACAUGUAUGUGUUCAUACUAUAUGGUAUAUAGACAUUGCCUGUGCUCCUCCACAUAUAUAAGCAUUGUCACCAUUACAGGCGACGUUACAUCCAUUCACUGUAUCCUGAAGAAAGCCAGAUAUGUCGGAUCCACAC
rnacentral:lncRNA from 1 species